AGAUUCCGGUCCAGUCAGAUUCCUCGACUGACCUAACCAGAAAAGUCCCCUCCCUCCCUCUUUCCCUCUUUCCCUCUUUCAACUGUUACUACAAUGGCGGACGCCUUCGCUUCGCUGUGAGUAGUGGAAACUGGGCAGCUUCAACUUUCCUAGAUAAAGGAUCAUCUAUGGUAGUGGAAAUUCCAGAGAGCGAAGAGAACUAACCAUCGUUUCCUUAAAAAUCUUUACCUAUUACUGGUCAUGAAGACGAUUUCAGGAUGGGACACAUCUUCCAAGCCCAUCUCACUCUCUAAAGCUGCUACGGUUCUGCAAAAAAUCAUCAACGAGGACCCUGGAGCUUCGCAAGCUGUUUCUGUGUACCUGAAACGCGCUUCCGCUGCUUUUGAUGAGCUGGUUCAGUUCCACAAGGAACUCAAAGGAUCCCGCCGCAAACACAAAAAAUCUCGUAUGGAUAUGGUGGAUAAUGGAGCCUUAACAGACGCAGAAGACGAGCAGGCCAGCAAACAAGCUCGAUUUAUUGAUUCCUUGGAACAGAAUUACUGGUAUACCCGGUAUGGGUGUGACUUUUGGCCUGAAGCCAAUGGUAGAGAAGGUGGAGUUGGGGUUCAAAUUGUAGAGGAGAUGAAGAAGACGAAAAAGGUGGAACUUGAAUGUGAAGGUUUGAACGAUUCCGAGGAACGGCAUAGCAGGAAGAACAAGAAGAACAAGAGAAGAAGGGAGGAUGAGAAAUAGCUGCUGGAUCUGACUGACUGGAAUUCUCUGUUCAAUGAAGUCUCUGGACAGCAACACAAAGUUAUAAGAAAAAUAGGCAUGCAUCUAACAUGUGAGCGAUUGGAUGUUUCAUCACAUUAUGUUACACAUGUUGGGGAAUGACACCAACAGAUCCAGUGAUGGAUUGUGAAUGUUUGGUCUAAGGUGGCUGUCCAAACACCCAUUACUCUCUGCUUUCGGGUCCAAAAAAUUCUGAUCUUUUUCUGCAUUGGUACCAUGUUAAUUUUCGUCAUUGAUUGUAACUGUGUCUAACCUAUUAGCUACCUUUCUUUUGAUAGAACAGUAUUGCCUGCAUAAUAUUCUUCUUCAUCUGAUCAAGAGAACUUCUUUAUACCAUAAGGCCAACCUCAAUCAAUGGACAGUAUAAUCAUAUGCCUAAGUCCUAAAGGUGAUAAAUCGUCUGGAACUACCACAAAGUUGGCCUUUUGAAACCAUGCUUUAUAUAUAAACCACCCCUGCCCCCAUCGAAUAUCAUUGUCAAUCCAUCAAACCUAUUUCUCCAUACUUCUUUUCAAAACCUCUAUAUAAACCAAAACCUCCAUUCCCUUAUCAAACCCUUAAUGCCCUACCAUCUCAUAAAGCUCAAAAAAUGAAAAUUCAACAAUAGCGACCGUUUAGACCCAAUUUUGAAAACCAUAAAUCCUUUGAGACCAUAAUCCACAGGAUUGCAUUGGUAUAACAUCCAGCCCUCUCCAAGACGUGAACCUAAUACUCUAAAGAAUAGCAUGUUAAAAAUAACUUUUCCACCCCAAAUCAACUUUUAUGGCCUUCUACAAAUAUCACUUGACUUGUCUAGUUCCUCAUGGAUCUUAUGAAGUUCUUGAUGAUAGUCGACUGUUCGGUAGAUUAAAUUCAUCAACUGUGUAGUCAACAUCUCGCUUCAUCCUGGAGUCAUCUCUAUUCCUCUGUACUUCACUUGUUCCUGUUGUCCAGUGUAGGCAUUACUGUUACCAAGCAGCUACAGUUACAAGGCUUGUAGGCAAUGGUUACUUGAAUAAAGGCUUACUACAGUGAUUUCUUCAGGAUUUUCUGUAUGAGUAGCAUUUGCUGGAGUCUGCGUCAUGGUGGUCCUAACUCUUGUGUCUCAAGGUUCUGCGUUGUUGCUACUGAUUGCGAAUGCUAGUUAAGUGGAGUUUAAACAUGUACUUCAGAAUUGUCAUCCAUGCUUUGGGCAUGGACUGCAUUGCUGUAUGUGUUCACCUUAGCAUAAACUAGCAAUGCGAGUUGUUGAAUUGAUUUGUGUGAUCCGUUCAUGGAGCUCUUUGCUUGUCCUUUUUUCUCUAAUAUGUGGGGUAACCUUCUUCUAAAGAUCUUGCCCU